ACUCGCAUAUCUACCUGCCAGGUGAGACACGGAACAAACGGUCGGUCCUUCGCCGUCUAUUUCUCCCACCUAAACCCUCGGAUGAUUUCCCACCGGGACAGGAUCCCUCCACAGCAGUUCAGUUGCCCGCACAGCUGGAAACUUUGCCUGGGAAUUUGUCUGCUUUAAAAUUUCAGUCAUUGUUUCUGGUCGUGUGUGUGAUGUGCCUCCCCAUCUAAAACUGGGAAGGAGAUCCACAGUGGGAAGAUUGAAUAGAUUUUAAUAGUUUUUUUUUUUUUUACAACAUCAACUUAGAUUAUGUGCAUUCUGCCUUUUUACUGUUUUAAUUUUGUUAAAUAAUCCCUGGAAGCUACAGAGCAGCAGCCACACGGCGGUAGGCCUCAUCCUCUUAUGGAUCUGUCGCCCCUGAAUGGCUAAUGUGCGUUUUGGAUGUUCUCCUUAAAAACUAAAAGACCAAUCGCUGUGAAGCUGAAAUCCUGCCUUUAUCUCGAUGACGGCAGAACAGUUUGCGUUCGAAGACAUGUUAAACCUGCAGUAUUUCAGUUGUCAUAUCCCACAGGAGGGCACAGCAGUGGUGUUACCACAUGCACACAAACCUCCAGUAAUGUCAGGUAUGUUGGUGAACCAGCUCCACUUAUCUGUUCUCAGGUGAUGGGCGUUCACUCUGUACUUUCCUUGAGAGGAGGCUCAAUUUAAUUAAACUUAUGACAGCGGUGGGGAGAGAGAGAGCGAAAGAGAGAAAGAGAGAGAGAGAGAAAGAACUUCCAGUAAAUGGCGGCAAACAGCUCAUACAAGGAAAUGAUUGAGCAAAAUUUGCACACAUUUCCAUCCCGUGCAGGGAGAUGCAUCCAGCACGGGAAUAUUUGAUCCUGUUAUUGGUGCGAAUGUUGCAAGUUGUGUCCGUGUAAUUGUUGAAAUAAACUCAUUGUCAUGUA